rnacentral:rRNA from 1 species
CCUACGGGUGGCAGCAGUGAGGAAUAUUGGUCCAUGGUCGAGAGUCUGAACCAGCCAAGCCGCGUGAAGGAUGACGGUCCUGUGUUUUGUAAACUUCUUUUCUAUGGGAAUAAAACGUUGCCCGUGUCGGCUUUUGUGUGUACCAUAUGAAUAAGGAUCGGCUAACUCCGUGCCAGCAGCCGCGGUAAUACGGAGGAUCCGAGCGUUAUCCGGAUUUAUUGGGUUUAAAGGGUGCGUAGGUGGGUUGUUAAGUCAGUUGUGAAAGUUUGCGGAUUAACCGUAAAAUUGCAGUUGAAACUGGCAGUCUCGAGUACGGGAGAGGUGGGCGGAAUUCGUGGUGUAGCGGUGAAAUGCAUAGAUAUCACGAAGAACUCCGAUUGCGAAGGCAGUUCGCUGGAUCGCAACUGACACUGAGGCUCGAAAGUGUGGGUAUCAAACAGGAUUAGAUACCCGAGUAGUC